GGGCCACUGGCAGUGAGGGAGAGUGAGGAUGGCAGAGACCAGUGCCCUGCCCACCGGCUUCGGGGAGCUCGAGGUGCUGGCUGUGGGGAUGGUGCUGCUGGUGGAAGGCGCUGGCCCUACGGCUCGGACGGCUGCCAGGCUCACGGUUUCCAGGGCUUUGUGACAGCGUUGGCCAGCAUCUGCAGCAGUGCAGCCAUCGCGUGGGGGCGCUAUCACCACUACUGCACCCGCAGCCAGCUGGCCUGGAACUCAGCCAUCUCUCUGGUGCUCUUCGUGUGGCUGUCUUCUGCAUUCUGGGCAGCCCUGCCCCUCCUGGGUUGGGGCCACUAUGACUAUGAGCCACUUGGGACAUGCUGCACCUUGGACUACUCCAAGGGGGACAGAAACUUCACCAGCUUCCUCUUCACCAUGUCCUUCUUCAACUUCGCCAUGCCCCUCUUCAUCACGAUCACGUCCUACAGUCUCAUGGAGCAGAAACUGGGGAAGAGUGGCCAUCUCCAGGUAAACACCACUCUGCCAGCAAGGACGCUGCUGCUCGGCUGGGGCCCCUAUGCCGUCCUGUAUCUAUACGCAGUCAUCGCAGACGUGACUUCCAUCUCCCCCAAACUGCAGAUGGUGCCUGCUCUCAUUGCCAAAAUGGUGCCCACGAUCAAUGCCAUCAACUAUGCCCUGGGCAAUGAGAUGGUCUGC
rnacentral:sRNA from 1 species